rnacentral:rRNA from 1 species
UACGUAGGGUGCAAGCGUUGUCCGGAAUUAUUGGGCGUAAAGAGCUCGUAGGCGGUCUGUCGCGUCUGCUGUGAAAACUCGGGGCUUAACCCCGGGCCUGCAGUGGGUACGGGCAGACUAGAGUGCGGUAGGGGAGACUGGAAUUCCUGGUGUAGCGGUGGAAUGCGCAGAUAUCAGGAGGAACACCGAUGGCGAAGGCAGCUCGCUGGGACGGUACUGACGCUGAGACGCGAAAGCGUGGGGAGCAAACAGG